UCGGGGUGCACCAGGCGCGAAAACUUUACAAUGCCGGCAACGGCGAUAAGGGAACCUCGAGUGCCAGGUUACAAAUCUGGCUGUCGUGAUGCCUAAAAAGCAUUGCAUAGCAAGGGCCGGGCAAGACCGGUGCCAGCCGCCGCGGUAACACCGGCGGCUCGAGUGGUAACCGUUAUUAUUGGGUCUAAAGGGUCUGUAGCCGGCCGGGUAAGUCUCUUGGGAAAUCUGGCAGCUUAACUGUCAGGCUUUCAGGAGAUACUGCCUGGCUCGAGGCCGGGAGAGGUGAGAGGUACUUCAGGGGUAGGGGUGAAAUCUUGUAAUCCUUGAAGGACCACCAGUGGCGAAGGCGUCUCACCAGAACGGACCUGACGGCAAGGGACGAAAGCUAGGGGCACGAACCGGAUUAGAUACCCGGGUAGUCCUAGCCGUAAACGAUACUCGCUAGGUGUCGGCCACGGUGCGACCGUGGUCGGUGCCGUAGGGAAGCCGUGAAGCGAGCCACCUGGGAAGUACGGCCGCAAGGCUGAAACUUAAAGGAAUUGGCGGGGGAGCAC
rnacentral:rRNA from 1 species